rnacentral:misc_RNA from 1 species
AGUCGAACAAAAUUUAUUUAUUUUUUCGACAAAUUAAUUGGAAAUUGAAUGAUUUUAAUUUAAUUGAAAAAAAUUGAAAAUAAAUAUUAAAAA